rnacentral:rRNA from 1 species
UGGGGAAUAUUGGACAAUGGGGGCAACCCUGAUCCAGCCAUGCCGCGUGAGUGAUGAAGGACUUCGGGUUGUAAAGCUCUUUUGGCGGGGACGAUGAUGACGGUACCCGCAGAAUAAGCACCGGCUAACUUCGUGCCAGCAGCCGCGGUAAUACUAAGGGUGCAAGCGUUACUCGGAAUUACUGGGCGUAAAGCGUGCGUCGGUGGUUGUUUAAGUCUGAUGUGAAAGCCCUGGGCUCAACCUGGGAAUGGCAUUGGAAACUGGGCAGCUAGAGUGGGGUAGAGGGUAGUGGAUUUCCCGGUGUAGCAGUGAACUGCGUAGAGAUCGGGAGGAACAUCUGUGGCGAAGGCGACUGCCUGAACCAGCACUGAC